rnacentral:rRNA from 1 species
UAGUCCACGCCGUAAACGAUGUCAACUAGCCGUUGGGGGGUUACCCUUUAGUGGCGAAGCUAACGCGAUAAGUAGACCGCCUGGGGAGUACGGCCGCAAGGUUAAAACUCAAAUGAAUUGACGGGGGCCCGCACAAGCGGUGGAGCAUGUGGUUUAAUUCGACGCAACGCGAAGAACCUUACCAACUCUUGACAUCCUGCGAACUUGCUAGAGAUAGCUUGGUGCCUUCGGGAACGCAGUGACAGGUGCUGCAUGGCUGUCGUCAGCUCGUGUUGUGAAAUGUUGGGUUAAGUCCCGUAACGAGCGCAACCCUUGUCCUUAUUUGCCAGCACGUAAUGGUGGGAACUCUAAGGAGACUGCCGGUGACAAACCGGAGGAAGGUGGGGACGACGUCAAGUCAUCAUGGCCCUUACGAGUUGGGCUACACACGUGCUACAAUGGCCGGUACAGAGGGCCGCAAACCAGCGAUGGUAAGCUAAUCUCAUAAAACCGGUCGUAGUCCGGAUUGGAGUCUGCAACUCGACUCC